rnacentral:lncRNA from 1 species
UUUAGGUGGACACAUGAGGCGUCAUCGUGAUGAAAUUAAUAAAACUACAGCUCAUGAACAGACGAUGAUUCCGAUUUUGAAGAAGUCAAAUAGCAUCAAGAGGAUUUUUUGUUUGGAUUUAAACUUAACCCCUCGUGAUGAUAAUGUUGAUUUCAAGUUAUGGCCGAUGGCACCAAUUGCAUCUCCUGUUUUGAGAACUUUUAUUUAAGUCGUUGUUAAACUUUUAAUCAGGAUUAGAAGAAUUAAUUAGUUGCAUGCAGUUAUUUGUGGAAUUCUUUCUAUUCAUUUUUUGUUGAGAAUAUAAUCAAAUAAUUAAAAGUGUGCUCUCUUUAACAGCUUAAGCUUUUAGAUGAGAUAGUCACACACUUCAACAUGGUAUCAGAGCAGGCAAAGGUCCUGAGAUCGAAUCUCACCGCCACCCAAAUCAAAAAGAAUUUCUACGUGCUUAGCCCAUGAAAAAAAAUCAGACCCGCACGUGAGAGGGCGUGUUGAGAAUAUAAUCAAAUAUAAAAGUGUGACUCUCUCUCUAACAACUUAAGCUUUUAGAUGAGAUGGUCACACACUUCAACAUUUUAUUAUAUAUAAUCCUUAAUUAUUAGUUCGCUGAUUCUUUUAUAUAUAUAUAUAUAUAUAUAUAUAUAUAUAUAUAUAUAUAUAUAUAUAUAUAUAUAUAUAUAUAUAUAUAUAUAUAUAUAUAUAUAUAUAUAUAUAUAUAUAUAUAUAUAUAUAUAUAUAUAUAUAUAUAUAUAUAUAUAUAUAUAUAUAUAUAUAUAUAUAUAUAUAUAUAUAUAUAUAUAUAUAUAUAUAUAUAUAUAUAUAUAUAUAUAUAUAUAUAUAUAUAUAUAUAUAUAUAUAUAUAUAUAUAUAUAUAUAUAUAUAUAUAUAUAUAUAUAUAUAUAUAUAUAUAUAUAUAUAUAUAUAUAUAUAUAUAUAUAUAUAUAUAUAUAUAUAUAUAUAUAUAUAUAUAUAUAUAUAUAUAUAUAUAUAUAUAUAUAUAUAUAUAUAUAUAUAUAUAUAUAUAUAUAUAUAUAUAUAUAUAUAUAUAUAUAUAUAUAUAUAUAUAUAUAUAUAUAUAUAUAUAUAUAUAUAUAUAUAUAUAUAUAUAUAUAUAUAUAUAUAUAUAUAUAUAUAUAUAUAUAUAUAUAUAUAUAUAUAUAUAUAUAUAUAUAUUACCAGGAUUUAGGUAUUUACAAAUCAUAUAUUUGAUUUUGUUGUUACCUUGUGAAUAUUUAAUUAUUGGAAUAACAACAUCGAACAUAUAAAUAAUUCAAUCAAAUGCGAUGCAAAUACUUCUAUGUCUCUAUAACAAAAGAGAUAUUUAGUGGCAAUAGAUUUAAUGUCAUUGCAUCUGGUUCAAAGUCGCUAAAAUCUUUAACGAUAUUUAUAUAGGGUGUUUUUUAUAAAAUAUUCAUAUUGAAAUCGACUUGAGUUUUCCUAUUGAUUCAAACUAAAAGAGAUUUUCUUACGUUGGCUAAUGUUUAUAUGUAUAAAAUCCUAAUACUUGCAAAAAUAAGAAUAAUUAUUAAUAAAUUAUUUCAAAGUUGAAAAAUGUGUAAAAGAAAAAAAAUGGUACGUUAUGUUAUCUAAUGACUAGUAAAUUUAAAUGAGUUGACUAGUCAAAAUUAAAUGUCAAUAACUACUAAAUUUAAAUUGAACAAGUUACGAGAUGACUUUUCAAGCAGACUCUUGCUAAUAAAUUAAUAUCUGCGAACAAGUUAGUACACUAGAAAUACAAACAAAUUGUAUAACUUCAAGUAUCUAUCUAACUACAUUUCAACAAUCUCUAACCUAAGAAAAAGUUACAAUCAAAACUAAAGAGGAAUUAUCCCUGCAUCAAUGCAUUCUCAUUUGGUGUCAAAUUCAAAUCCAUGAACAAAAUUCUUUCACUACUCUUCGAAUUCUCCUCCAAUGUCUUCGUCUUCGUCUUCUUCUGCUCGUGUUGAUUUAAUUUAUCGCGAUGUUUUCUCAUGUGUCCGCCCAAAGCUUGUCCAAUAGCGAACUCUUCGCCACAAAUAGAGCAUAUAUGUUUUUUGGACUUAACAGAUAAUGAGUCGAUGUUGAUAUUACUCAUCGCAAUGAGCUUAAUCUCCCUAUUCUUGUGGCUUGUCAUGUGCUUAAGAUGAAUCGAAUUGUUUUUUGCAUUUAAAAACUUUAUAUCGUAUUAAUAACCCGUUUCUUUUUAUUAUAUCCAAACAAUUUGCCAUCUCAAAUUUCUCCACUGAUUCAUCUUCUACUCUAUCUCUCUUUAACGUCAUGUCCAUAGUUGGGCUAAGUGUCCACACACUUUAAUCGCUUUAAUUUUAUAGCGCUUUUAAUAAAGUAUAAAAUAAUUACAAUAAGAGAAUAGUCAUCUUGUUGUUGGUAAGUAAAUUGGAGUGAGUUCAAUAAUUAUGAUGUGGGGAUUAUUGAGUUAGUCUAUUUAUAAUGUCCACUUUAUUCUCCUAAACCAAGUUGGACUCGGAUUAUAUAAAAAGUUAUAAAGUAAAUUUAUGUUUCCUUAUUUUAGACUGUUUUUUUUUCUUUCAGAUUUGGUUAAAUUUUUGUGGAUUGAAUAAUAAUUGAAUCUUGUGGUUUGAAUAGUCUUUGUGAAAAGUUAAAAUUAAAGAAUUGUUAAAAAUGAAAAGAGAUAUUCUUUUUUAAGCAAACUAAAAAUAAAAAUAGGACAAACGAAUUGAAACAUAAGAAAUGCUUAAUUAUCAUGCUCAGAGGUCUAUCGAUGUAGAUGGGUGAUUACGGAUUUAUGUGAACUCAGCAGUUUGUGGUUAUGUGCAUAGACUCUCUAUGACUAUAUAUAUUAUUAAUAUAUUUUUUACAUAUCUACAAAUAUUUAAAAAUGUGAAACAAAUAAUUUAUAUUAUUUUAUUAACUAAAAAUCGUUAUAAAAAUAAAUAAAUUUCAAAUCAAGAAUAUGUCUCUCAAUCAUUCUUCUCUAGUAUCGAAUGUUAAUUACCAAACGUUAGUUCAAUUUCAACAGUUGACUUAAAUACCUUAAAUUUGGUAGAAAAAAUUAUUUUCCACAUAUAGGACUAGAAGGAAGGUUCAUUCCAAUUAGAGAAAAAAAAGCUAAUUAUUAUUAAUAUUACAUUAAUUCAAAGUAAUUAAAAUUGCUAAGCAGUGAUGCUUAAUAACAGAUAGGAAGCAAAGAGACAUUUUAUAUGAUACUUAAAUAAAGUUAACUGCAAAAAAUUAUCUGGUGGCUACGUUGCGAUAUUUAGGCAAAAUCGAAUGAUUUUUUUUUUUAUGAAAAAUAAUUUGGUGAUAUUCUAUGAUACUUGAGAAAAGUUAAGUUAUUUUUAAAUUACAAAAAAUAAUUUAUACUUUGAGAAAAAGUGGUAGGACUAGGAGUACGUAAGCAAAUAUGUGUUUUAGAAAGAAGCUCAACGAAACUACCUGAAAAAUAUUCCCCCACACAUUAUUUUAUGAGUAGUCUUAUUUUAUUACUCAAACACGGUGAGCUCUACUUUGAAAACGACGAUUUUUAUUAAUUAAAUUUGUGACUAACUUAAUCAAUAAGUAAAAAGGAAACAACAAAUCUUGGAUAACACGUACUAUAUUAAAUUCCACAUAAAACUUUUGUCUGUAUAUAUAUGUGGAACAACACCAACAAAAGUAUCAUUUCUCACUUCUAAAUUCUCCAUUUCAAAAACUUAGUAUACAAAAAAAUCCUUAUAUUUUCAUUUUUGAUUCGUAUAAACAUGACAGCCAUGAAAAGAAGAAGAGAAGAUAAUGGACAAGUGGAAGCAGAAGCUAUGGCUAAUUGCGCCUUAAUGCUUUUGUCGCGUUUAAACAAGGAUAAUGAUUUUGAAUGUAAGACUUGUAAUAAACAGUUUCCAUCUUUUCAGGCUCUUGGUGGACACCGUGCAAGUCAUAAUAAACGGUCAAGAUUACUAGGAGAGUUUCUUGUUCAAACCAACACAAAGAAUAAGAUGCAUAAAUGUUCUAUUUGUGGUAUGGAGUUUUCUUUGGGUCAAGCACUAGGCGGACACAUGAGGCGUCACCGUGAUAAAAUUAAUAAAAUUACACCUGAAAAGACUAUGAUUCCAAUUUUGAAGAAGUCAAAUAGCAGCAAGAGGAUUAAUAUUUUUGGGUUGAACUUAAACAUAACACCUGAUGAUGAUGAUGACAAUGUUGAUGAUUUGAAGUUAUGGCCCAUGGAAGAGGCUCCAUCGCCCGUCUUGCGAAUAUUUAUUUAAGUAAAAAAGCUUAUAAUUUGUUAUUAGCCUUUAAUUAGGAUUAGGAGAAUUAAUUAGCUACAUGCAGUUAUUUGUGGAAUUCUUUCUAUUCAUUUAGUCCAAAGGCAAAUUCAUAUAUAUAUAAACAUCAUAGUUGUCAGGGGUGUAUAAAAUCGAACCAAACCACAAAUCGAAUUUAACCGAACAAAAAACCUGACUAGUGGUUUGGUAUUGGAAAAAAAAACCCCGACUAUAUUUGAGUUGGUUUGGUUUUAACUAAAAAAAAUCAACCCGAGACCAAACCAACCCGGCAUUAUAUAUGUAAUUUUAAAAUUUUAUUUUAUACAUAAAAAUAUUUACAUUGAUAUAAUUAUAAAAUAUUUCUUAUACUAUUUCAUAGUUUUUAUCUUUCAUAUAUUAUUUCAAGUUUAAAACUUAGAAUUCGGAAUGGUCCAAUAAAGACUAUAGUUCAUAGAAAUCAAAAUCAAAUUAAUACUAAUGCAAAAAGAAAAUCAAUUCAACACUAAGAAUGACAAUAAUAUUGAAUAUUUGUUCUUUAGUUUUACAUUGGUUUAGACAAUUAAAAUACAUAAUCUAAUUUUAAUUUUCCUUAAAUAUUUAGUAAUGUAACUAAUACUUAUUAAACUUAUUUUAGCAUGAUUUAGUACUUUUAAAUUAUGAUCAUUUUCAUUAUGACUUGGAAAUAUUUAUUUAUAUGAUGAUUUCAUUAUUAUUUUGUAUUGAAUAUUUUAGUGUCAUCACUCAUCUCAUAUGUUGUGUUAUUUUCUUAAGAAACACCUUAAAUAAUUGUAUUUUGGUUGGACUAAAGAAAUAUUUGGAGCACAAGUUAAUUAUAUGUUUGUAUGCAAACUUUACCGAAAAAAUCCAAAAAUCUGAAUAAAUCUAAGGUUUAUUAGUUUGGUUUGAUUUAUAAAUUAAAAAAUUCGACACAAUGGUUGGUAUUUGAAAAACCCAAACCAACCCGAAGGUUGAAAAACCCGAAAAAAUCCAAAUUUUAUUAGUUUGGUUUGGUUUAUAAAUUUAAAUUUUUUAUACAAAUAGUUUGGUUUGAUAUUUAGAAAAACCCGAACCAACCCUGCCAUGUACACCCCUAGUCAUAAUAAUCACAUUCUACCACUAACUAAUUUAAUGAGAACAAAGAAAACAUUAUAUGCCAUCAACAUGUCAAGCCAAAUGCUACACAAUUUGAGAGGAUUGUAACAUAUUGUGAUGACUUAAUAUUAUAUUAAUUAUAAUAUUAAAAUGUAAAGGCACCAACAAAAAAUAUUUACACUUAAAAAGUAAAUUGCCUUUUUUCACCAAAACCACUUAAUUAUGUUUUCUAACAUAAAACCCUCAAACUUUACUUUUACUAAUACACGUCAGAAAAUUCAACUUAUGGGUAAUACUUUUUUUCUUUUGUAUUUUUAAUAUAAUAAAUACAAAUAAUUUUACGAACGGAUUAAUUGUUACUACUACUUGCAUCCAAAGUAAUAAUUUUGUCAUAAUCUUUCUAAAUUCAUUCACGUUUUUAGUAUUUUAAUUUUUGCGCUUGAAUUUUGAUUGGAUCGGUUCUAUUUAAUUGGAUUAGUAUUUAUACGACUAAAAAUAAAAUAAAGAAGUAGUAAAAGAUUAGUAUCGGUCGAGUCGAUUGUUUAAAAUUAAAUUCAUAUUUAUUAAAUAAAAAUAAAAAAUAUCAUAAAGAGUUUCCAUAGGAAGUUGAAUUUUCCGUCAUGUGUGAUUUUUGUGUUAGUUGGGACAAUGUCUUAUAAUUUUUGUGUUUGAAAACAUAAUUAAGUGAUUUUGGUGGGGAAAAAAUCAUAAUUAUAUGACCAUUAAUGAAGUUUAUCCCUACUUUUAAUUAAUUAAAAGUUUAGAAUUUAAACUCUAAAAGUUAAAGAAAUUAUAUCCUAAUUUUUUUCUUCAAUAUAUAGAUUUUACACGGCAUGAAUCUGAAUUAAUUUCUUUACGUUCAAAACAAUCUCAUGAAAACCAGAAUACAAAUAAAAAGUUAGUUGCAUCAUAUAUCCAACCGCCAAACAAAAUUUGACUCCCUCACAAUUUAUGUCAUUUUCCUUCAUGAAUCUUUGACUCCUACAAAACGAUUUGUGAAAGUAAUACUAGUAGCACUAAACCAUGUUGCCUUGUUUUUUUUCUUCCAACUUGUUUACAAACACAUUGCUCUCAUAACCCUCACCAACCAAGAAACUAAUAUUCGUUUCGUCCCAUUUUAGGUGACAUCGUCUUAUUUGACAUAAUAUUUAAUAUAUAUAUAUAUUUUUUUAUUUUAUUUUUUUAUUAUUUUUUUUAGACUUGUAGUUUAAAACAAAUUUUCCGUUUUUGCGUUGUUGUAAAUCAUUUCAUUAAAGGUACAAAUAAGUUAAAUUAUUUCGAGCUAUAAUAAGAUAACAUUCUUUUCAAAACAGAUUAAAAAGAAAUAACAUAAAUAGGAAUAGUUUAUUGUGAAGUAUAAAGUGUAACAAUUUUAGGAUAAAAUAUAGGAUUACUUUAUCCCAUGUUUGAUUGAAAGUAUUAGGUAUUAUUUAUCCCAUCAUUUUAGUCAUAAUAAUUGAAUAAGUAAUAUACAUGACCGAAUAACUUGUUCCAAUCAAACGACCCUAAUAGUAAUAUAAAGUUAGUCUUAAAAAAGCACAUUGUCCUUUUCACGACGCUACGUAUGCACGUGUUUUUCUUUUUUCAACCCUUUAUGUCAUUUUCCUUCAUGAAUCUUUGACUCCUACAAAACGAUUUGUGAAAGUAAUACUAGUAGCACUAAACCAUGUUGCCUUGUUUUUUCUCUUCCAACUUGUUUACAAACACAUUGCUCUCAUAACCCUCACCAACCAAGAAACUAAUAUUCGUUUCGUCCCAUUUUAUGUGACAUCGUCUUAUUUGACAUAAUAUUUAAUAUAUAUAUAUUUAUUUAUUUUUUUAUUUUUUUAUUUUUUUUAAACUUGUAGUUUAAAACAAAUUUUCCGUAUUUGCGUUGUUGUAAAUCAUUUCAUUAAAGGUACAAAUAAGUUAAAUUAUUUCGAGCUAUAAUAAGAUAACAUUCUUUUCAAAACAGAUUAAAAAGAAAUAACAUAAAUAGGAAUAGUUUAUUGUGAGGUAUAAAGUGUAACAAUUUUAGGAUAAAAUAUAGGAUUACUUUAUCCCAUGUUUAAUUGAAAGUAUUAGUUAUUAUUUAUCCCAUCAUUUUAGUCAUAAUAAUUGAAUAAGUAAUAUACAUGACGGAAUAACUUGUUCCAAUCAAACGACCCUAAUAGUGAUAUAAAAUUAGUCUUAAAAAAGCACAUUGUCCUUUUCACGACGCUACGUAUGCACGUGUUUUUCUUUUUUCAACCCUUUAUUUGGUCAACCAUACACAUAUGAAGGCAGUUGGAAGUGUUCUAGAAACCUCAAAGAAGCCAACAUUAUUUUACUUUUCUUUGACUCACUUAACCAACAAGGAAAAUUCAGACACACGCAAAAAAGUCAAGACACAAACUUAUAUAUAUGUGAGGCAACACCAUCCAAAGUGUAUCAUAUUCUUAAACUUCUAAAUUCAAAUCUUUCUUUCAAACUUCUAAAUUUGAUAAUACAAUUUGUAAAAAUCUUCAAUAAUAUGACAUCUAUGAAAAGAAGCAGAGAAGACAAUAUGCAAGUUGAAGUAGAGGCCAUGGCUAAUUGCACCUUAAUGCUUUUGUCUCGUUUCAACAACACUUCUUCAUCAUCAGAUCAUCAUCACAUUAAUGAUUUUGAAUGCAAGACUUGCAAUAAACGCUUCCCGUCUUUUCAAGCUUUAGGCGGUCAUCGUGCAAGCCAUAAUAAAAAGCCAAGAUUACUCGGAGAGUUUCUUGUUCAAACCAACAAAAAGAAUAAGAUGCAUAAAUGCUCUAUUUGUGGUGUGGAGUUUUCUUUGGGUCAAGCCUUAGGAGGGCACAUGAGGCGUCAUCGCGAUGAAAUUAAUAAAACGUCGAGGAUGAUACCAGUGUUGACGAAGUCGAAUAGCAGCAAGAGGAUAUUUUGUCUGGACUUAAACUUAACCCCUCGUAAUGAUAAUGUUGAUUUCAAGUUAUGGCCGACCGCACCAAUUGCAUCUCCUGUUUUGAGAAUCUUUAUUUAAUUUGUUCAUUUUAGACAUUUUGCAUUCAUUUUUGUUGUAUAUAAUCCUUAAUUAGUUCGUUCAUUCCUUUACUUCAGUAACGUAAUAAAGUUUGAUUCAAUUAAAGUUUUGCAAAAUAAUUCUCACAAGUCAUAUCACCAAAAUAUAUAAUAAUGGACUAAUCCACACGAAAAUUGAAAAAAUUGCCUAAUUCAUAUAAAUUGAUCCCUAGAUGUCCAAAAAUGACUAUAAAAAUGAUGAUUACUACUCCCUCAAAAGGUUUUGCGAAAAUUAUCCGAAAGUCAUAUCACUAAAAUAUUCAUGGGCUAACACAUCGAAAAAUUGAGAAAAUCGCCUAAUUCCUCUAAAUUAGCCCCUAAAUUCCUAAAAAUCACUCUAAAAAUGGAGAAAUUGUAUGUACUGCUCCCCCAACUCCUUAUAGAUAGAGGGUUCCAUAAAGGUUUCAUAAAAAAAAUUCGGGAGGCCAUAUCACCAAUAUAUUCAUGAGCUAACACACACGAAAAACUUCGCUUAAUUCCUAUAAAUUGGCCCUAAAUGCCCAAAAAUCACUCUAAAAAUGGUGAGAUUGUAUGUACUGCUCCCCUAACUCCAUAUAGAGGGUUCCGUAAAGGUUUCACAAAAAAUUAGUCUAGAAGUCAUAGUGAUAUGAAUUUUGGACGAUUUGUUUGUGAAACCUUUAUGGAACCCUCUGUAGGGAGUUGGGGGAGCAGUACAUACAAUCUCACCAUUUUCGGAGUCCAUUUUGGGUAUUUAGAGGGCAAUUUACAGGAAUUAGGUGAUUUUCUCAAUUUUUCGUGUAUGUUAACCUAGGAAUAUUUAGGUGAUAUGGCUUCCGCCCCGAGGGACAAACAGACACAUUUUCAAAUUCAAACGAGCCCCAAAACGAGAAAACCAAAUUUUCUCAUUUUUCGUGUGCUAUUGUCCAUGAAUUUUUGGUGAUACGGAAUCCUGGCUUGUUUUUGGCCGAAUUUUUUCAUGAAUUUUCAUUAUGACCUUAUUAAUGGUGUGAGUUGGUCCCGAGGGGGAAACAAACGCAUUUUCAAGUUCAAAUGAGCCCCAAAGCAGGAAAAACCAAAAUUUACUAUUUUUCAUGUCCUAUCGUCCAUGGAUUUUUGGUGAGACGGGAUCCUAACUUGUUUUUGGCCGAGCUUUUUCAUGGACGUCCGUUGCGACCUUAUAAAUGGCGUCGUGAAUUGGUCCCGAGGGGAAAAAGAAGCAUUUUCAAGUUCAAACGAGCCUCAAAGGGGGGAAAACCUAUUUUUACCUUUUUCGUGUGCUAUAGUCCAUUAUAAAUUUUUGGUGAUAUGGGAUCCUAGCUUGGUUUUGGCCAAAAAUUUUCAUGGACGUACGUUACGACUUUAUUAAUGACGUGAGUUGGUCCCGAGGGGCAAAUAGACGCAUUUUCAAGUUCAACGAGCCCCAAAGCGGGAAAAACCAAAUUUUAUCAUUUUUCGUGUGCAAUAGUCCAUGAAUUUUUGGUGAUACUGGAUCCCGACUUGUUUUUGACCAAAAUUUUUCAUGGACGUCUGUUACGAACUUAUUAAUGGUGUGAGUUGGUCCCAAGGGGAAAACUGAUGCAUUUUCAAGUUCAAAAUUUUACCAUUUUUCGUGUGCUAUAGUCCAUGGAUUUUUGUUGAUACGUGAUCCGACUCUUUUUUAGGCCGAAAUUUUUCAUGGAAGUCUAUUACGACCUUAUUAAUGGCGUGAGAUGGUCUUGAGGGGUAAACGGACGCAUUUUCAAGUUCAAACGAGCCCCAAAGCGGUAAAAACUGAUUUUUACCGUUUUUCUUGUGCUAUAUAGUCCAUGGAUUUUUGGUGAUGGGUGAUCCUGACUUGUUUUUGGCCGAAAUUUUUCAUAGAUGUCCGUUACGACCUUAUUUAUGGCGUGAGUUGGUCCCGAAGGCAAACAUAUGCAUUUUCAACUUCAAACGAGCCUCAAUGCGGGAAAUAUCGAAUUUACCAUUUUUUGUGUGCUAUAGUCCAUGCAUUUUUAGUGAUAGGUGAUCCCGACUUGUUUUUGGCCGAAAUUUUUCAUGGACGUCUGUUACGACCUUAUUAAUAGCAUGAGUUGGUCUCGAGGGGCAAACAGAUGCAUUUUCAAAUUCAAACGAGUCCCAAGGCGGGAAAGACCGAAUUUACCAAUUUUUCUGUGUUAUAGUCCAUGGGUUUUGGUGAUACGUGAUCCCUAAUUUUUUUGGCCAAAUUUUUUCAUGGACGUCCGUUACGAUCUUAUUAAUGGUGUGAAUUGGUCCCGAGGGGUAAACAGACCAUUUUCAAGUUCAAAUGAGCCUCAAUGCGGGAAAGACUGAAUGUACCAUUUUUCGUGUGCUAUAAUCCAUGAACUUUUGGUGAUACGUGAUCCUGACUUGUUUUUGGCUUUAAAAACCAAAUGUAAGUCUCCCUUACCUUUUAAUUUUUGACUUAAAAAUCAUUGAAGUUUGACUUUUUAUUUUUUGAUUAUUUUUAGUCAAUCCAAACGAGCUCUUAUUUAUGAAAGUAACAGGAGGACGACGAAAAGGAACAGCCCACACUUAUUGAGAAUGAGAUGAUGAUAUCAAAUUGUCUUUUUUUUUAUAUUGUAAAACUUAAAUAAUAUAUUUUUAAAAUAUAAUUAAAUACAAUAUAACAAAUAUCAUUGCGUUCGUCACCAUCACCAACCUAAAAAAAAGUACUAUUACACUGUUGCUGCUAGUUAAUUAGUGCUAAUUAAAGAAUUAGCACUAAACCAUGUUGGUUGGUCUUUUGGUUUCAACUUGUGUGUUCCAAGUCACUGCUUUAAUCACCAAGAAAGUACAAUUUAUCCUUUUCAAAUGGCUACGCCAUGUGUUUUCCGCAGCCCCUGAUAAUGUCAAUCUUAAUACGUCGUUUUAAAUUAGAUGUAAUAUUUUAUAUUUCAAAAUUUAAGUUAUUUGAAUAUGAAUUGAUAUUGUAAAGUAUAUUUGUAAAAGAAAACCCACAAUUUUAUAUCUAUCUACCAUUUAUUUCAUACGUAAAUAAAAUUUAUAGUUGAUAAUAAUUAUUACUCUUACCAAUCUUUAAAACCAUUUAUGUCGGAUAUAAUCAUUAUUCUCACCAACCAAAUUUAUAGUUGAUAUUAUUAUUCUUACCAACUUUUAAAUCAUUUAUAAUAUUGGAUAUAACCAUUACCCUCACCAACCAAAUUUAAAAUUGAUAUUAUUAUUCUUACAACUUUUUAAACCAUUUACAUUGAGAAAUGGAUGCUCAAUUGUCCAUACUAUGUAGGAGAAUUAUAUUAAAGAGUAGUACAUUACAAUCCAUGUUCAAUUUUUUUUUUAUUAAGUUAAAGUUCGAUUAAUAAAUAUUGUAUUUUAUUUUUAAUUUUUUUUUAUGAUAGCGCAUUUUAUUUUUAUUAUAAUUUUUUGUUUAUUUACUAAGAUUGUAUAAAAAAUCGAAACAUUUUCUUUAAAAUACAAAUAUCUCGAUUCUUUAUACAAUCUUAACAAAUGAAUAAUUUUCUUAUUCCUUAACCGGAAAAAUAUGUGGCCAUGACAUGUGAGUAGUAGAACGUCUGCUCCUACUUGGAAGUGUUCUAGAAAGCUCAUAGAAGGCAACAUUACAUUACUUUUCCGCUCACAUGAAAUGACCUGAAAUAUUCCUUAUCCACAUGAUUGACUAACGCGUUACUACCUUCAAAUCAAUUGAUUCCUUUUCCACUUGUAAAGUACUACUUUCGGCGUCUAUUUUUAUUUGUCCGUUAUAUUAUUUUGAGAUAUUUUAAUAAUAUUUAUUCAGUUUAUAAAAUUAAUGAAUUUAUGUUUAAUAAGGGUGAUUUGGUAAAUUAUUUCUGUCAUUUACCAUUUCUAAUUAAUUCGUGUUUAAAAUCAAAUAGUAGACAAUUAUUGUUGAAUAGAUAAAGUAUCUCUAGUAUUUCUUUGACUCACUUAACCUAAAAGUCAAACAUUAUUAAUUGUCACUAAUUAAUAAAGAAUAAUGUGAUGCACGUUUUUUUCAAAAACACGUCAACCUUGUCUUAUCUCAUACCUAUAUAAAUUUGAAGCAAAGAGCAACCAAAUGUGUAUCAUAUUCUUCACUUCAAACUUCAAACUUUCACACAUUUCUUCAAACUUCAAAAACAACUUUGUGUCUUCAUUCUUGAUAAUAUGAGUGCCUUAAAAAGAAGCAGAGGAGAGGAUGUGCUAGUGGAAGCAGAGGCCAUGGCUAACUGCGCCUUAAUGCUUUUGUCUCGUUUCAACACCAACAACUCAUCAGAUCAUCAUCAUAUUAAUGAUUUUGAAUGCAAGACUUGCAAUAAACGCUUCCCGUCUUUCCAAGCCUUAGGCGGUCAUCGUGCAAGUCAUAAUAAAAAGCCAAGAUUACUCGGAGAGUUUCUUGUUCAAACCAACAAAAAGAACAAGAUGCAUAAAUGCUCUAUUUGUGGUGUGGAGUUUUCUUUGGGUCAAGCCUUAGGAGGGCACAUGAGGCGUCAUCGCGAUGAAAUUAAUAAAACGUCGAGGAUGAUACCAGUGUUGACGAAGUCGAAUAGCAGCAAGAGGAUUUUUUGUUUGGACUUAAAUUUAACCCCUCGUGAUGAUAAUGUUGAUUUCAAGUUAUGGCCAACCGCACCAAUUGCAUCUCCUGUUUUGAGAAUUUUUAUUUGAUAUUAUAUUCUUGUAGGAUUAGAAGAAGCUGUAAUACUUCAUUUGUUAAUUCUUUUAAUGUAUUCAUUCAUUUUUCUUAUAUAUUUUCUUAAUUAAUUCAUCCAGUUUAUAUUUUGCAAUUAAUCGUAAGUUUAGCAAAUAUAUAUAAUCAAAAUUAUCUAAGGUAUGACAUGACAUGACAUCGAGUCAGAUUUGAUUUUUUGCUAAUUUGGCAUUGGAUAACGACUUAUUUGCGCUUGAUAAGUACGGGAAAAAAAGUUUCAAUGUUGAUAAUUUUCGAAAUCAACCAAUUAGAAUGAUCUAAGCAAAUCUAUGUUUGUUUUUGACUACUAAUUGAACUGUAUAAGAGAGAGAGAGAGAUGGCAACAAUAAUUAGCUAUACUAGGAAGAAAACAUAAAAUGAAAAUGUUUUGCACUAUUUGAAUUUAGAACAUGUCAAAAAAA